CUCCCGAACCGCCCGAGCCCUUCCCGUCCCACGGAGCGACGGACGGACGGACGGACAGAAGGACGGAGAGCGAGAGGGAGGGACAGAAGGGCGGAGGGAGGCGGCUCUAGGCCGGGGGGAGGAACUACAAGUCCCGUGAAGCCGCGCCGCCCGCCCGCCGCCGCGGGGCUAUAAAGGAGGGAAUGGCCCGGCAGCCGCAGUCGGAGCAUCCCUGGCUUCGGCGGAGCCGCUCCCGCCGCCGCUCCCGGGGACAUUCCCGGUGGGAGCGGGGCGAUACCCGCACUCCCGGAGGCUCUGCAGAAGGAGGAUGAGGAGGAUGCCGCUCCGAGCACCGGGGGAGCCGCAGCCCCGGGAGGCUUCGGGCGCUGCCGUCGGAGGUGGAAUUGGAAUUGGAAUUGGAGGUUUCGGCAUUCCUGCAGGGACAGCUCCCAUCGGCCCAGGAGCUGCUGGAACCUCCUUGUGCCAGCGGUGGGGACACCAGGGCAGGAGUGGCACUCGUCCCCUCCGCCAGGGAAGGGCUCCCGAGGCAGGAUCUGUCCCUGGAUGGUUCCUCUGCGCUGGGAUCCCGAGCCCUGAGCCUCGGCUGGGGUUUGGAUGCUCCCUUCUGUCUGCAGCUGGAAUGGCAGGGCCGUGCCUCCUGCUCCUCCAAAUCCUGUGGAUUUACUGCUUUUGGCAUCGUCCUGCUGGGACUGGCUCGGCACAGGGAAUAUCCUGAGGGACGGAUGGGGAAAAGCAGCACCUGCAGCCUGAGGCUACAAUUCCCUCUUUUUCUGGGCUACUCUGAGCAUCCUGGCUCUGCAGGAGGAAGGAUUCCAUGCACUCCUGGAGGACAAAUCCUGCUGCUCUGAUGCCUCCCCAGCCGUUCCUGGCUCAAGCCCUGCCCUGCUCGAUGCUCCUGGAGGGUUUUUGGUGCCACUCUCCAGUUUGGGGCACCCAAAAGGGACAAAGAGCCCCAAAUCCACUCCCCUCUGAACACCAAAUUCCAGGUCUGUGCUGGAGCCUCGGGGUGAGGGACAGAGGGACAGCCAGGACAGCCAGGAGCAGCUCCCAAGGACAGCACAGACACUGCAGCUGGAGCAGAGGGACAGAGGGACAGAAGGACAGCCAGGAGCAGC